rnacentral:tRNA from 1 species
CCUGAUAGCUCAGUUGGUAAAGAAUCUGCCUGCAAGACAGGAGACCCAGGUUUGAUUCCUGGGUCAGGA